rnacentral:rRNA from 1 species
GGCGGACGGGUGAGUAACGCGUGGGUAACCUGCCUUAUACUGGGGGAUAACAUUCUGAAAAGGAUGCUAAUACCGCAUAAGCGCACAGCAUCGCAUGAUGCCGUGUGAAAAACUCCGGUGGUAUAAGAUGGACCCGCGUCUGAUUAGCUAGUUGGUGAGAUAAUAGCUCACCAAGGCAACGAUCAGUAGCCGACCUGAGAGGGUGAUCGGCCACAUUGGGACUGAGACACGGCCCAAACUCCUACGGGAGGCAGCAGUGGGGAAUAUUGCACAAUGGGGGAAACCCUGAUGCAGCGACGCCGCGUGAAGGAUGAAGGUUUUCGGAUCGUAAACUUCUAUCAGCAGGGAAGAAAAUGACUGUACCUGACUAAGAAGCCCCGGCUAACUACGUGCCAGCAGCCGCGGUAAUACGUAGGGGGCAAGCGUUAUCCGGAAUUACUGGGUGUAAAGGGUGCGUAGGCGGUAAAGUAAGUUAGGUGUGAAAGCCCGGGGCUCAACCUCGGGACUGCACUUAAAACUGCUUUACUAGAAUACAGGAGAGGUAAGUGGAAUUCCUAGUGUAGCGGUGAAAUGCGUAGAUAUUAGGAGGAACACCAGUGGCGAAGGCGACUUACUGGACUGUGAUUGACGCUGAGGCACGAAAGCGUGGGGAGCGAAC